GACGAACCGUGCGAACGUUGUUCGGAAUCACUGGGUUUAAAGGGCGCGUAGGCGGGCUGUCAAGUCGGUGGUGAAAUCGUUCCGCUCAACGGGACAAUGGCCUUCGAUACUGGCGGUCUGGAGGGAGGUAGGGGCAUGCGGAACUUCCGGUGGAGCGGUGAAAUGUGUAGAUAUAUGGAAGAACACCAAUAACGGCGAAGGCAGUUAACUAUUCUGUUACUGACAUUGAGGCACGAAAGCGUGGGGAGCAAAACGG
rnacentral:rRNA from 1 species